UACGUAGGGUGCGAGCGUUAAUCGGAAUUACUGGGCGUAAAGCGUGCGUAGGCGGUUCGUUAAGUUCGUUGUGAAAUCCCCGGGCUUAACCUGGGAACUGCACUUGUGACUGCACGGCUGGAGUGCGGCAGAGGGGGAUGGAAUUCCGCGUGUAGCAGUGAAAUGCGUAGAUAUGCGGAGGAACACCGAUGGCGAAGGCAAUCCCCUGGGCCUGCACUGACGCUCAUGCACGAAAGCGUGGGGAGCAAACAGG
rnacentral:rRNA from 1 species